rnacentral:rRNA from 1 species
AACGAACGCUGGCGGCAGGCUUAACACAUGCAAGUCGAGCGGGGGAGCAAUCCCUAGCGGCGGACGGGUUAGUAACGCGUGGGAACAUACCCUUUGGUACGGAAUAGCCUCGGGAAACUGAGAGUAAUACCGUAUGUGCCCUUCGGGGGAAAGAUUUAUCGCCAAAGGAUUGGCCCGCGUUGGAUUAGGUAGUUGGUGGGGUAAUGGCUCACCAAGCCUUCGAUCAGUAGCUGGUCUGAGAGGAUGAUCAGCCACACUGGGACUGAGACACGGCCCAGACUCCUACGGGAGGCAGCAGUGGGGAAUAUUGGACAAUGGGCGAAAGCCUGAUCCAGCAAUGCCGCGUGAGUGAUGAAGGCCUUAGGGUUGUAAAGCUCUUUACCCGAGAUGAUAAUGACAGUAUC